rnacentral:tRNA from 1 species
GGCCUGGCGGAAGAAACUCAAGAGCGACCGCCAGAAAGGCGGUCGCUCAAUGGUUCGAGUCCAUUAGGGUGCACCA